UUUAUUUGUUUAUUUAUUUUUUAUUUUAUUUAUUUUUUGGUACCGGGGAUCAAACCUGGGACCCUGCACUUGCGAGGCAGGCGGCCGCACCACUGAGCUACAUCCUCGGCCUUAUUUUUGGUUUUUUGAAACAGGGCCACUCUGUGUAGUUCAGGCUGGCCUUGACCUCACCAUGCAGCCCAGGCUGGCCUCAAACCUGCAGCGAUCCUCCUGCCUCAGCCUCCCGAGUGCUGGGAUCACAGGCAUGUGCAACAUUAGUGCAUCUAAGCAGUAUUAAAUAAAAUGAUCUUCUGGUGAGUCCCAUCAAGUCUCUAAAUGGCUGGCCUUGAACUUGUAAUCCUCGUAGCUCAGCCUCCCAAGUGCUGGGAUUACAGACUUUUUGUAUCGGUCCAUUAGACCACCUAGCAUUUCUCUGAGCCAAUAGGUUCCCAUUGCUGCUCAAUUACUUAGAAUCAGGUUUCUAGUCUAGAAACUAAAUGAGGCCUAACAAACUUAGAAGAUGGGCCAUCAACCAGGUUACGCACAAAGAAGCCUGGAACGUUUACUCACCUGGAAUCCUGGAUGAAGCGCCAACCCUGGACGUCUCUGGAAGGACCCACAUUCUGUGUCUUCAGAUUUUUGCUUUCAGCUCCACUGAGGCUCCCCUUGGGAGUUAUGGACCAGCCCACCACCCAUGGAGGCAUAAGAGCAGCCCCAUGGGCCAGCAGUUCACAUGCAGGGACCCUCUGCAUGUCCUCAGCCCACCUACGACGGCUUCCCACAGGACUGGAAGGUCAGGCCAACGAGUCAGUCUGCUAAAGGCGGUCUGCGGGGAGUGUGACAGAGCUCUGAACAGAAGCCCCUCUGUGGCCCACACUCUGUACCCUUGUGGCAUUUUCUCCCGACUCGACAUACAGAGGGAAACUGGAAGAAGACAGGGAGCUGGAGAAGCAGCGGCAGGCUGUCCGUGCAUGAGCAUGUGAAGGCUUGGCAGAGAGGGGACCUCAGCCCUCUGUCUGCCUUUCUGCUUCUGUCCCUCCUCUUCCAAUAACAGCACCUCCAAUUUCUCUGCCCCAUAACUCCUUCCAAAGAGUCUCUGGGUAAGGUUGAAAGACUGGGCAUAAGACUUCUCCGUGGCUGGGUGUGACAGUCUCCUGACCACCGUGUUUGGUUCACGGACAGAAAUGAAAGCCUGUUCACCUGUUUGGGAAGCUCUCACUCUCCUGCUGGGCUUGUACCUCAGAGAAGCUGGCCUCACUGUGUUUCAAGAUGACACCUGAUAACAUGACCAUGGAGGUGAGCAGACCCAAAAGUGGCAUUGUCCCCAGAUCAAGCCCCUUGUGAAGCUGAUGUACUCUUCCUGCCCUUUUAAAGCUAUUUGAUCCAAUUAAUUUUCUUUUUUUUCUUGCUCACUUUCCUGUAUUUUAAAGCUGUUUCAGUUGGAUUUUCAAUCAAUUUAAGACUAAUACAAUGGAUCCAGAGAUAAAGGGUAAUAUGGGGGAGAUAUGUUUGGAUCCUGAAAUUUGUCUAUUCUACCAGGCCCUGUGGAAAACUUUGGCCUGGAGGCCUUGAGCCCAGAGAAGGGGAGCUGAUGGACAGGCUAUGUCUGUGCCCUUGGCACUGCAUCAGGGUGAGGGAUUCUGGUGCUCAGUGCUGUAUACCAUUCCCCUGGACACCAAGCCUCCAGUUCUAGAGGGGACUCACAGAACUCCACAGGGUCUGUAUUUCCAGCUCACUAAACAACACUUAAUAUGGCUUAACCUUCUGAGCACAUUCCUCCUGGAAGAAUAUUUAUGGGUCUUCUACCACAAGCUCUCCGGUCUCAGCAGUUUAGUUUGUCUUUUCAAAUAAGCCUCGGGACCUGCCUCAUUUGGUGGUCUCCUGUGAGUUUUUAUUGUUGUACUCAGUCUGAUCAACACUGCCCAUUUCCGGGGCUCCUGGCAGUUUUGUGGAGCUAGUUUACCUAGAUGACUCCAAACAAGUCUAUCACUCCUUCUGCGUGCAUGUGUCUCUUCCCUAGCUUGCAUCCUUUCAUCUCGAAUCUAGGCUGGGCUUGUGAUUGCUUUGCUGGAUAGAACACAGAGGAGUGACAUUCUUCAGAAGGCCUGGCAGCUUCCACUUCCUUUCUCUUGGAUCCCUGGGUUGCCAGUGAGUGUCACGCAUGGCCUAAAUGAGACCUUUGGAAAGCAAACAGCAGGCUAUUCUCAGUAAACAGGACAGAUGAAUAUAAAAUCUCCCCAGCUCUGAGAAGUCCAGUGACUGUCUACACACCUGCACUGACCUCCUUGGCCACUCAGUCAUGAACAUUUCUUAUGAUCAUAGCCCCCUUUUCAAUACCUAAUAAGCCUAAUUCCUUUCCCAGUUAGCUGCUGAUAUUUAUCUCUUGCUGUCAGCCAUCCACAGACUGAUGUAACAGAUAAGGCUUUUCUCAGCUAGCUGCUGAAAUCUACCCCCGAUUUUAGUCUCUGUUCACUGGAAUAAAUCUUUUUCCUCACAAACCCUGUCCCAAGUGGUUUCAUGUGCGCAGUUUGUCACAAUGAGAAAUCCAGGAUAACUUCCUGCUGGAGAGAAAGGCCACCAAGAAAGGCAGGAGGAUGAAGUGCUACACAAAGAGGCCUCACCAGGGGAUGCCAAGAUGACAGACAUUCACCAUCCAGCCACCACCUGAGGCACAGGCAUGAGAGACCACAAGUGAGACCAACAGAAUUGUCCUACUGAACACCUGAACCAUAAGAUAUAAUAAAACUAUUGCUUUAAAGUGCCAAGUGCUUUUUUUUAUGGAAGUAAUUUCUUUUUCUCCACGUACAUCAUGCCAAUCACACACACACACACACACACACACACACACACACGCACGCACACACACACGCACACAGAGCUCCCAUUGGGCAAAUGAAUAACAAAAAGGGACCCUUUUCUCCAGGAUGGAGGACAGGCUUCCAGGGCCCAGCACUCAAAUUGGAGAAGCCCAGCUUGAUGUCUGUCCCACUGGCCCCUCAGCCUGGCACACUUUGUAUGGCACAAGGUCUGUACAACUCC
rnacentral:lncRNA from 1 species